AGAACGAACGCUGGCGGCAGGCCUAACACAUGCAAGUCGAACGGGCGUAGCAAUACGUCAGUGGCGGACGGGUGAGUAACACGUGGGAAUAUGCCUUUCGGUUCGGAACAACUCGGGGAAACCCGUGCUAAUUCCGGAUACGCCCUUACGGGGAAAGAUUUAUCGCCGAAAGAUUAGCCCGCGUUGGAUUAGCUAGUUGGUGAGGUAAAGGCUCACCAAGGCAACGAUCCAUAGCUGGUUUGAGAGAACGACCAGCCACACUGGGACUGAGACACGGCCCAGACUCCUACGGGAGGCAGCAGUGGGGAAUCUUGGACAAUGGAGGAAACUCUGAUCCAGCCAUGCCGCGUGAGUGAUGAAGGCCUUCGGGUUGUAAAACUCUUUCGACGGGGACGAUAAUGACGGUACCCGUAGAAGAAGCUCCGGCUAACUUCGUGCCAGCAGCCGC
rnacentral:rRNA from 1 species